rnacentral:lncRNA from 1 species
CCAAAAAAAAAAAUUGAUUCGUUGGACAUUUGUUGUCAAGAUGCUUUUGUUUUGCUUAUGGUAGCAUUGAAUCCUGUUUUUUUUUUUGUCUUUUCAUUUCAAUAGUUUUUAUUUUCUUGUUUUAGUAUUUCUUUCCAAACUAUUUGGUUUUUGUUAUUCCGUUUUUUCUAUUUCGCUUUUUAAAGUAAUUUCGUUUCUUUUCCUCUAUUGUUUUCGUUUCUUUUCUUUCUCUCUGUGCUUUCAUACUUUUUGCGAAAAGAAAUAAAAAAAAAAGUAAACAAAGCAUGGACAGCAUAGACAACAGAUAAGAAGGAUGAAAAACCCUCUACUUACCAACAUAACGCAUCAUAAACCCAUUACAAUGCAAUUCAUUACAAUCCAUUACAUGGAAACGUGGCAGGAUGGAAGAAAUCCACAAUAGCAAUAGGGUUGAUUUGUGACGACAAGAGCCGGGAAGGAGAAGAGGAAAUUUUCCUUCUUGACUACCGUGAAUAGAGGAGGCAGACAGUAGAGCCAGCAGCAGCAUCGGCGACGGUAUGCAAAGGACGGUAGAAAGGAAAUUAAGGUAAGCAGCAGGUGGAAGGGUGAAUCAUGAUGACGGGUGGCAGAGAAAUGUAGACGAAUGUUGACGGAGGAGGUAGACGAAUGAAUGUUUUGUUUUGUCGAAAAAUCGUCAUGACAGCAGCGGAUUACAGCGGAAGUGGAUUACAGAGGAAGAAGCAUUACAGAGGUAGGGGUAGGGCAUUAGGCAUUACAGAAGUUGAGCAUCACCAGCGGUAAAAUGGGUUUGAUUGUGCAGGUAGUUUAGUGUAGUGAGCUGUAAGUUGGAACUGUCGAUUUUUACUUUUUGUGUCUUAAUCACUACUCUGUGUGUGUGUGUGUGUGUCAUUCCUCUUUGUGUUAAUUCUACCACUCUAUCUAUUUCUCUCUCUUUGUCUUUCUCUAUCAUUACUCUCUCUCUCUCUCUCUCUCUCCCACCUCUCGUCUCGCCAUGCACAUACCUUAAAGCAAGUUUCCAUCCAUUAUGUAUGGUAGUCCAGCGUAUGUUCGGUAAGCGAAUAUUGCAUGGCGCAUUGCACAACUUUAAGAGUGUUGGAUAACGUUUUGUAUGCAUCCAGUAUGCCAGCACACCUUUGUGACCCAUAAAGAAGCGACGAUGCUGAUUGGUAGACGGCAGUUUGCAAGUAACAUACCAGCCGAGUUUUUUCGGGUAACGAGUAUCGAGACGAGACCGGCAGAAAAGAGUGAUAGGAGAGCAGCGAGAGGCAGGAAGGGAGAGAGAGAAGAGAAGAGAGAGAAGAAGAAGGAGAGGAAUGGAAAGAGGAGGAAAAAG